CCUACGGGAGGCAGCAGUAGGGAAUAUUGCUCAAUGGGGGAAACCCUGAAGCAGCAACGCCGCGUGGAGGCUGAAGGUUUUAGGAUUGUAAACUCCUUUUGUUAGAGAAGAUUAUGACGGUAUCUAUCGAAUAAGCACCGGCUAACUCCGUGCCAGCAGCCGCGGUAAUACGGAGGGUGCAAGCGUUACUCGGAAUCACUGGUCGUAAAGAGUGCGUAGGCGGGGUAAUAAGUCAGAUGUGAAAUCCUGUAGCUUAACUACAGAACUGCAUUUGAAACUGUUACUCUGGAGUGUGGGAGAGGUAGGUGGAAUUCUUGGUGUAGGGGUGAAAUGCGUAGAGAUCAAGAGGAAUACUCAUUGCGAAGGCGACCUGCUGGAACAUUACUGACGCUGAUGCACGAAAGCGUGGGGAGCAAACAGGAUUAGAUACCCCAGUAGUC
rnacentral:rRNA from 1 species